rnacentral:lncRNA from 1 species
UUGCAGCGGUGGACUCUUGGACACUGCCUUUGAUUUCAUCCUGAAAAACAAGGGCCUCACUACAGAAGCAAACUAUCCAUACAAGGGAGAAGAUGGUGUCUGCAACAAGAAAAAGUCAGCUCUUUCAGCAGCCAAAAUUGCAGGUAAGCCCAUAAAAAUAUAGAAGAACAAAAUUUUCAAUUGGGCGAGUUGGGUUAAUUAUGACCUACAUCAUUAAUAUAGAGCCAGUCACUUCAAACGAUUAAAAUUUUGAACCCAUAAGCUUGAAAUCUUGACUUCGCCUCUAAUUACAGGAUAUGAAGAUGUACCAGCCAACAGUGAGAAGGCUCUUUUGCAGGCAG